AUGCUCAAAUAAAGAUUGUAUCAAUUACAUCGUUACACCAGUAGGUGCCGAUAAGUGACUGUUCAUUUUUGUCAUUCAUUCAAGAGAUUUGUUUAAAUAUUCUGAUUCAUCCAGUAAUGAAACAAGUGAAGUCUUUAUGAGUGAGUCUUUGAAUCAUUCAUUCAAAAGAUUUGUUCAAAAACGCUGAUUCAUCCAGUAAUGAAACAAGUGAAUGAGUCAUUGAAUCAUUCAUUCAAGAGAUUUGUUCAAAAACACUGAUUCAUCUAGUAAUGAAACAAGUGAAGUCUUUAUGAGUGAGUCAUUAAAUCAUUCAUUCAAGAGAUUUGUUCAAAAACGCUGAUUCAUCCAGUAAUGAAACAAGUGAAUGAGUCAUUGAAUCAUUCAUUCAAGAGAUUUGUUCAAAAACACUGAUUCAUCUAGUAAUGAAACAAGUGAAGUCUUUAUGAGUGAGUCAUUAAAUCAUUCAUUCAAGAGAUUUGUUCAAAAACGCUGAUUCAUCCAGUAAUGAAACAAGUGCAGUGUUUAUGAGUGAGUCAUUGAAUCAUUCAUUCAAGAAAUUUGUUCAAAAACACUGAUUCAUCCAGUAAUGAAACAAGUGCAGUGUUUAUGAGUGAGUCAUUGAAUCAGUCAUUCAAGAGAUUUGUUCAAAAACGCUGAUUCAUCCAGUAAUGAAACAA